UACGUAGGGACCAAGCGUUGUUCGGAUUUACUGGGCGUAAAGGGCGCGUAGGCGGCAAUUCAAGUCAUCUGUGAAAUCUCCGGGCUUAACCCGGAACGGUCAGAUGAUACUGCUUUGCUAGAGUGCGGAAGGGGCAAUCGGAAUUCUCGGUGUAGCGGUGAAAUGCGUAGAUAUCGGGAGGAACACCGGUGGCGAAGGCGGUUCUCUGGGCCGACACUGACGCUGAGGAGCGAAAGCGUGGGGAGCGAACAGG
rnacentral:rRNA from 1 species